ACCUUGUCAAAACAGAUGUUAUUUAUGCAAUUUCCAUUUCAAAUAAUCGAAAUCUAGCUUCGGCUAUUCAUCACUUUCAGUCUCAGCAUUUACACCAUUGCUUCCCAAAACAUUUCUCAUUGUUACCCCACUUUGCUGCUUGAAAAUUGUAGUGAUUCCAGCUUGUGACACUGAAUGGGGAGGAGUAAGAGGCCUGUGGCGACAGGGACGGAUAGAGUAUGUGGCAGAGGGUAUGAGAGAUCUGUGACAGUGGGAAAAGCGUUGAGAUAGAGGGUCAAGACUAGGGCUAGAGGUGAGAGGGUGGAGAAUUGUUUAACUGAAAAAUUUUUUAAAUAAAAUGUGCUUACCUUUCCAAUGGGUAGAUUUCCGGUCUCCUGGAUUAGUCAGUUAGGCCAGGCCUACUGUUUAAAAAUGCCAGGUUUAAAGGAGCCACACAGCUGUUUGCAUUCAGUUGGAGUUCCAUGGUAGCUACUGGAGUUGACAGCCUACUGUUUGGGAAGCCCUAAUUAUAAAAAUCACACCUUCAGUUUGUCUGUUUUAUAUUUUACAUGUAUCAUACCUUAGAAUCCUAGAAUAAUAUAACACCGAAGGAAGCCAUUUGACCCAUUUGUAUCUAUGUCAGCUUUAUUUUGAAGAGUAAUCUGAUUUAGUCUCACUUUCCCAUAGUUCCUGCAAUUACUACUUGCAAUGCUUCCUUGCUACCCAGGCCUUUCCAGAGUCAGCUGAAAUAUAUGCACGCCAGGCGGUACACUGAGGAAUGUCCUCCACACUUGAUUUUUUAUGAUUUGCUAUUGCAUAAUUUAUGCCUGACAUUGUAAAGUUAAAAUUACCAUAGCUAGCAAUUUUUCAUUUGUUCACUUACUGCUGUUGGUCUAAUUACCUUUUGAAAGUGAUGAGGAGCCUCCCUGAACAACUGAAGCCCCUGGGAUGCAGGUACACCCAUAGUGCUGUUAGGAAAGAAGUUCAUCACAGUAAAGGAAUGGAGAUUUAGUUUUAGGUCAAGAACGUGUCGUUUGAAGAACUUUCAGGUGGUAUGUACAUGUGGAUCUGUUGUCCUUGUCCUUAUCUUCCAGAUACGGAGAUGUAGAAGGUGAUGUUAAUAACGUUUUAUAGCUGACAGGAGUUUAUCUGGCCUGUUGGAAUGGGAGACGAAAAGCGAUGCUGUGGAAGCACUAACUGUCCUGAAUCACUACCAGAUGAAAAACACCAAUGGCCCAUAUCCUUACACCUUGAAACUCUGUUUUUCCACCAUGUCCCACGCAUGAAGAUUCAAAUAAAGUCUGAAGAAGAUUUUGAAUUAACACUUGUAGUCGACAUAUAUGGGCCAUUUACAAAUUGCGAGAGAGCGUACUACCUUGCAACUACCUACUAAGUGGAAGAUAAUUUCUUUGUUCUGUUCAAAUUGUAAUUUUUUUCAGAAUUGUAUCAAUGUAAAAGUAGACAUUUAACUAAGUGUUCCUUUUCCUAGGUAAUUUUCUUUGCAGUCAGUGUACCAGUACAUGGAGCUUAAUGUUUAUGCAAGUGACCUUGUACGUUAGAACUAUGCAAGUGGUGAAAAACAUCUGCUUGUGGCAUAUUUACAAAUGUAAAGGCACUUUUUUCCAGUGAGAUGAAACUAGGAUUAUCAUUCUUUGGAAAGUGUAGUUUGCAAGUUUGUUUUACUAUUAACUAAAACAGUUGUCAUCUGGAGAGUUUUGUGUUCUACAAACUGAAGUGCCAACAUAGUGAUUUUGAACACUAUACCCAUACUUGGUGUCUCUACAGCUUGUUGAUUCUUGCUGUGGUUCAGUAAUUCAUUAAACAAUUCUUGCAAUUACCCUGUGGUUUGAUUCUCUAGUAGCAAUAAUAAACUGUGUAAAACUGAA